rnacentral:rRNA from 1 species
AACGAACGCUGGCGGCAGGCCUAACACAUGCAAGUCGAACGCCCAGCAAUGGGAGUGGCGCACGGGUGCGUAACGCGUGGGAAUAUGCCCUUGACUACGGGACAACAUCGGGAAACUGAUGCUAAUACCGUAUAAUGACUCCGGUCCAAAGAUUUAUCGGGCAAGGAUUAGCCCGCGUCAGAUUAGCUAGGUGGUGAGGUAACGGCUCACCAAGGCAACGAUCUGUAACUGGUCUGAGAGGGAUGAUCAGCCACACUGGAACUGAGACACGGUCCAGACUCCUACGGGAGGCAGCAGUGAGGAAUAUUGGACAAUGGGCGCAAGCCUGAUCCAGCCAUGCCGCGUGAGUGAUGAAGGCCUUCGGGUUGUAAAGCUCUUUUAGAUGUGACGAUAAUGACGGUAGCAUCAGAAAAAGCCCCGGCUAAAUUCGUGCCAGCCGCCGCCGUAA